UACGAAGGGGGCUAGCGUUGUUCGGAAUCACUGGGCGUAAAGAGCACGUAGGCGGACUUGCUAGUCAGGGGUGAAAUCCCGGGGCUCAACCCCGGAACUGCCCUUGAAACUGUAGGUCUUGAGUCCGAGAGAGGUGAGUGGAAUUCCUAGUGUAGAGGUGAAAUUCGUAGAUAUUAGGAAGAACACCAGUGGCGAAGGCGGCUCACUGGCUCGGUACUGACGCUGAGGUGCGAAAGCGUGGGGAGCAAACAGG
rnacentral:rRNA from 1 species